rnacentral:rRNA from 1 species
UACGUAGGGUGCUAGCGUUGUCCGGAAUUAUUGGGCGUAAAGAGCUCGUAGGCGGCUUGUCACGUCGGGUGUGAAAGCCCGGGGCUUAACCCCGGGUCUGCAUUCGAUACGGGCUAGCUAGAGUGUGGUAGGGGAGAUCGGAAUUCCUGGUGUAGCGGUGAAAUGCGCAGAUAUCAGGAGGAACACCGGUGGCGAAGGCGGAUCUCUGGGCCAUUACUGACGCUGAGGAGCGAAAGCGUGGGGAGCGAACAGG